CAGGGCUUCCCCACAGCAAGCCUGCAGCUGGAGAGUAUUUCUGGCACCAGCGACACCACGUCAGAAUUGAGGAUGGACAGCACAUUGUCUGGAGGGCUGGGUACAGGCUGGCUUGGAGGCAGUGUAAACUUAGAUGACUGGAUAAUGAUACAAGCUUGUCUGUGAGCACAGUGGGACACUGCAGAGCUAGAACCUUAAAGUUUUGGGUUUUUCUUCCUCAAAGUCCCCUUCCUCCUCUCCACCCUCUUCUACUAGGUCUUCCAGCAAGUUCUCAGUAGGCUAUCCCAUUGGACUAUCUUCCUGUAAGGCUGGCCUGUCUGCCUUGGCAACUAGUCCACACCAAUUAGCUCUCCUGAAAAAUAAGCAACGCAAUUUUAAUGACAACAGUAAAACGAUGCACCAGCGUAUUUGGCACACUGAAAACACUAUUUAGUUACUGUUAGCAUAUUUUUAGCUGAGCUGAUACAUUCACUUGAAAAGUUGGCAGGGGGUGGCCGUGGCCACCUCACGCUGAAUCCUGGCCACCCUAUUGGCCACCCUGGACUUACCCCAACCACCCAUGCAACCACCGUAUCACAGCUGUCACUACUUGCCGGCAUGCGGAACCUUUCCUCCACUGCAGCGCAACCAGACAAAAAGAUGCAAGCACAUCCUGUCUGAAACCCCCUCUCUCCCCGGAGGAGAGUGCUACCCGCUGGCGCAUGGUGCAGCAGCCAGGGUGAGACUGGCUGCGCUGGGAGUUUAUAGUCUCCGAAAGAGCGGUGCAUCAGACACCGGCUACCUGCCUCCACAGAUCCAACGGCAACGACAACGGUUUCCACGGCGUAUCACCCUCUGAACAGAGGCGGGCGAGGUGCUUCCAGCUGCUGGAGGCGGGGACCGAGAAGCGUCCAGCGAAGGAUAGUGGGUGGUCUGGGGCCGCUGCUUGCCUGAAUCGAAACAGUGUUUCCCAUACAUUGACGAGACUGUGGCUGCUCGCCAUAGUCUAAUUUGCCCCGCCAUAGUCUAAAUAUGUGGAAUGUGAAAAAAUAUUUCUGCCUUUCCAACGCA